rnacentral:rRNA from 1 species
AGUGAACGCUGGCGGUAGGCCUAACACAUGCAAGUCGAACGGCAGCACAGUAAGAGCUUGCUCUUACGGAUGGCGAGUGUCGUACGGGUGAGGAAUACAUCGGAAUCUACUUUUUCGUGGGGGAUAACGUAGGGAAACUUACGCUAAUACCGCAUACGCCCUACGGGUGAAAGCAGGGGAUCUUCCGACCUUGCGCGAUUGAAUGAGCCGAUUUCGGAUUAGCUAGUUGGCGGGGUAAAGGCCCACCUAGACGACGAUCCGUAACUGGUCUGAGAGGAUGAUCAGCCACACGUGAACUGAGACAAGGUCCAGACUGUUACGGGAGGGAGUAGUCGGGAAUUUUGGACAUAGAGGGUAAGGCUGAUCCAGCCAUACCGGGUGAGUGAAGAAGGCCUUCGGCGUGUAAAGCAGUUUUGUUGGGAAAGAAACGCAGCCGUUUAAUACCCUGCUGUUCUGACGGUGCCCAAAGAAUGCGCACCGGCUAACGUCGCG